ensembl:lncRNA
UUUUCCUUGGCCUGGUGGCACAUGCCUGUAAUCCCAGCACUUAGAAGGCUGAAGCAGGAGGAUUGCUGUAAAUUCAAGGCCAGUCUGAACUACAUAGUGAGACCCUGUCUCAAAAAACAAACAAACAAAAGUUGUCCACUUCUGAGUAAUUGUGAGUUUGCCUCAGAGCACACAAAUGCUCUAAAGGGCUUUUUGUUUUAUGUCGUAGGAGAAGUGGGCAGAAUGAGCUGGAUGCUCAGAAGUUUGCAAGUUAAGCCAUGGAGCAGAAGCAGGGAGGGGACACUACAUCUGGUCUUCUCUCUGCCUAGAUCUAUUUCCAACUUAAAGUCUAAGCAGGGUGUUUUCAUUCAGCACCUUUCAAAGGACACUUGGAGUUUACCUAGCAUUUCCCCAGAGAUGACAGGAACAAAAUCCUACACGUCAAGAUCUCCCCAGAACUUUCCAGGUUAUUGAAGGUCUCUCUCCCUCCCUCAACUCUGGAAUGGAAGAAUGUGGAGGUAAACAAGCCCAGGUCCUGCCCACAGUGGAAGGAAACACAAAGAAUGAGUCAUUGAGAAUCAUCUUAGGACUCUGCCUGCUAUGGUACCUCAAAGGAGACAGAGGAGAAGACACAGACACAAGGGAGUUCAAGAGAACACAGAGGCAGAGAUUGGAGUGAUCCAGGCACAAACCAAGGAAGCUGACAGAGGCAAAGGACAGAAUCUCCUCUAGGACUUCCAGAGGGAGCAUGGACAUUCUGUGAACAACUUGAUUUCUGAUGUUUAGCCUUCAGAACAUAAGGGAAUAAAUUUAUGUUGCUGUAAGCCACCCAGUUUGUGGUCACUUGUUGCUGCAGUCCUAGGAAACCAAUACCCUAUCCCAUAUACUAGCCUUCAUGGUGAUCUGCUACUCAUCUUUCACAUCCAGCUCAAGUAUGACAUUCUCUGUGAAGACUUCCUGAUGCUCCUAGGCAGAGGGAAUGCCCUCUCCGCUCUUACCUUGUGCAGGGUUUUUCACAGCGUCUAUCACAUUUGCCACGGGGUUUCUCCCAUUAUCCUAAUUUCAUUAUCUGGUGACACCCAGCUGUCUUUGUUCUUGGCACAAUUCCUAAACUUUUCAGGAACUAUCUUCAAAGAUCAC